GUGGGGAAUUUUGGACAAUGGGCGCAAGCCUGAUCCAGCCAUGCCGCGUGCGGGAAGAAGGCCUUCGGGUUGUAAACCGCUUUUGUCAGGGAAGAAAAGACUCCUGUUAAUACCGGGGGUUCAUGACGGUACCUGAAGAAUAAGCACCGGCUAACUACGUGCCAGCAGCCGCGGUAAUACGUAGGGUGCAAGCGUUAAUCGGAAUUACUGGGCGUAAAGCGUGCGCAGGCGGUUAUGCAAGACAGAUGUGAAAUCCCCGGGCUCAACCUGGGAACUGCAUUUGUGACUGCAUGGCUAGAGUACGGUAGAGGGGGAUGGAAUUCCGCGUGUAGCAGUGAAAUGCGUAGAUAUGCGGAGGAACACCGAUGGCGAAGGCAAUCCCCUGGACCUGUACUGACGCUCAUGCACGAAAGCGUGGGGAGCAAACAGGAUUAGAAACCCUAGUAGUCC
rnacentral:rRNA from 1 species